GAUUUCCUGAGAUGUGCGAAAAGCUUAUGAUAUUCAACCUACAUUAUAUAAUCGGGAUUUACAAUAAAUUCAUAAAUGUCAGGCUUCAUUUAAAUCACUAAAUAGUGGCAGUAGAAGACAGAAGUGAGUUGAGUUUAACCCACCUGCGAGGCGCAGGAUUUGAAUAUAUAGGUGAACGGCAUGUUGGGAGCUAU
rfam:Clostridium sp. Maddingley MBC34-26 contig_216_3, whole genome shotgun sequence.